GUCCAAGCGAGUUAGCCCGCAGUGCGAAGCCGCCGAAUACGAAGAUCUGUCCGGGGAGGAAAACCUCCCCCUGGACUGCAUUAUUGUAGAUGAUUGACGGAGCCAUCAAACCUUUUGGUGACGAUGCAACAGAACUCUCAAUGAAAGCACCAAUGUCGGUGUCAAAACCGGCGGAUCUCGGGUAGGGGUCCCGAACUGUGCGUCUAAGGUUGAUGGUAACAGGAGGCGGGGGACACGAUGUUUACCCAGGUUCGGGCCCUCUUUAUGGAGGUAAUACCCUACUUCCUGCUUGAUUGAUCUUGAUGAAUAUGAGUAUUACAAGAGUUGAUCUACCACGAGAUCAUAAUGGCUAGAACCCUAGAAGUCUAGCUUGUAUGAUUUUGAUUGCCUCUACGGAAUAAGCCCUCCGGUUUAUAUAGACAUCGGAGGUGACUAGGAUUGUACAAAAUUGGUUACAGAGAAAGGAAUCUUCAUACCGGGCGCCAAGCUUGCCUUCCACGCCAAGGAGAGUCCCAUCCGGACAAGGGAGAGAGUCUUCUGUCUUGUAUCUUCAUGGCCCAACAGUCCGGCCCACGCUACAUAGUCCCGCUGUCCGAGGACCCCUUAAUCAAGGACUCCCUCAGCGUGCGCCAACUGCGGCUGGCAACCGGAUCCGAGUUCCUUCGGCCAUGAGAGCCGACUGUCGGGGACCGAGAGGUCGCACCAUGCUCUCGGCGAGGGUGACGGUUCUCAUCUUGCAUGCCGGUUCCAACGCGCGGCAACCGGCUUCCUGCUGCGUGGCAGCCGCAUCGAGGAGCCUAUGAAGGUGCUCCGUCAUGCAGCGCUUCUCAUCGCCCUCCAGGUUGUCCAGCUCGUCUGCUGCCGCCUGAGCAGCGCGCAGGUUCUCGAUGGGGGUAGCAUAGACCAGACAGACAGCUCCCAACAUGCCGGUGAUGGCGGCGCUGCAUUGUCAGAUUGCGCCCAGCUGGCUGGGCUCUCCAGAAGCCGGAGUGCUGCCUACGGCGCAGUCAAUCUCAUGCUAGUAGGCGUCAUUAAGGCGCCUCGUGGCAGCCAACUGGUUGGCGCUAUCAAGGAGCGAGAGGCGGUGUGCCUCUAGCAUCGCACUAUCCGCAUCAUCCCCAACCGGAGUGGCGAGGGCUCACAGGGCGGCCCGGAUCGGGUCCCGGUCCGCUCCGGCAGAGGUUCCAUCCUGACUGAUGACCAACACCUAUGUGACGGUGCUGGCGCCGGUGAUGCUGUCUACGCGAGGGAGCGGGUCGUCGAUGAUCUCUACGUGGUCGGGGUAGGCAUCAACAUCUACCGCGUCAGAGUCGAUGAUCAUCUCGACGGGCGGAUCGGUGGAGCCGACGGACUCCAGGUCGGAGGCGAGCUCGUUGGCGAUGUGGAGCUUGCCGAGGAGGUCGACGAGGCAGCUCUCAGAGCUUGUCGGUGAGGUGUACUCCGCCGACGAGAUCGUCAAGGGAGCUCGCAGCGCAGGCGGCCUCCACGCCCUGCAAAGCAUCGGCGCAAGCGCCAUCGGGCGAGCUAGGCUGGCUGCGCUCACGGGGAAGGAAACGGGUUCCCGUCCAGAAUGUGUCUCCGGCCAACGGUGUGCCUUGCCCCACGGUGGGCGCCAAAUGUCAUGGUAUUUCCUCGACAUAUGCCAACGGGUGGCUAAUCAUGUAUGGGGUCAAUAGAACAUUGUCAGGCUCUAAAAACGGGAGUAGGCAAGACUUCAAACAACAUCGGGUCUUACCCAGGUUCGGGGUUCUCCGUGGAUAUAACACCCCUAAUCCUGCUCUGCGGGGUGUCCGCAUCACUAUGAUCAAAUAGCGGGCUACAAGGUGCUCCUUGAGCUGUUUCGGCUAGAGGAGGAAGAAGGCAAGCUUGCUCUACUCCUCCUUACCUAUGUGGGUGGAAUAGUGAACUAGGGGUUGAACCCUUUGCAUGGGUGACCCUGGGGGGCUUAUAUAGGCCUACCCCCAGGGGUACAAUGGUAAUCCGGCUGGUCGUAGGACCCGCCCGUCAAUGUCUAUGGGCUCCGGCUUCUCUGCCGAUAGCUGGGGUCCGCCGCCUGGUGGGCCCUGCCAACUGUCACGGUCUCGGCCGACAGGUAGGGCCCGCCGCCUGUGGGCCAGGAGGACUAGGUCGCACUGUAGCCUUGCCUCUGAUGACGGUAGCUUGGUCGGGGGGGAGGGGGGUGUAUGGCUACAAUACCGCCGCCUGGAGGGCGAUCACUAUAGCCACACCGUCACUUCUAGUUAAUGGCGCAUGGACUCCAAGGGGAGGGACGGCCGCCUGCUUAGGCCUUGCCGCCUUCUGGUGAUACACAGGCAGGUGGGGCCCGCCACCGGCAGGCCACACCUACCGUCCGUCGUGGGGGCAUGGCCCUCCCCGACGUAGGGACCAUCAUGGGCCGCGUGGCUACAGUGUCUUGUCAGGUGAGGGAUGUCCGCCUGGUAUACCCACACUAUGGCCACGUUCUGUCCGGGAUUCGAGGGUGGCAGGUGGCACUGUUGCCAUGCCCUGACUUGUCGUAGCAGGUGGGUGCAGACUUUGAGGAGGCAAAGGGCUGCCUGGUAGGGAUCGGCCCGUGCCCUCGGUGCAUACUGGGAUGCGUCGCCUUCUAGGAGGCGGCCCGUUGGCGCCAGCCGGCCACGGGGGCCGGCCUUGCGACCAAUCAUACUGAGGGGUUAGGCUAGCCCUGAUGUCUCGAAAUCUGCUGGGAUGUGGAUGAGGCUACCCAUGGUUUAUCCCCCCGUCAACCCCCCUACCGGAUGCAGCUUUGCUAGACGUUGGAUUCUGCAACUUCCACCGGCGCCGCCCAUCAUAGCAUGCCAUCGCCGCCGCUGUCGACCUGCACCUCCUGACUCCAGCAGAAAAGCACAUCUGAGCCCAAAAAAGAACUCUGGUGGUUAGUUGCAGCAAAACCAAAAAUUGGUUCCAGCAAAAAAACAAAGGUUUGCAGCAAAAUCGACUUGAGCACCUAGCAAAACCAGUAAAUUGCUUGAAGCAAAAAAAUUCAUGAUUCCAGGAAAAAUUAAUAUGGUUCCAGCAAAAAUGCGUCGCCGCCGCCUGAUCGUAGCAAAUAUCUCAAGCAAGAAACUCGUCGCAGCAAAAUCAUUUGUCGGUUCCAGCAAAAAAGGACCUGGUUCUAGCAAAGAAGAGGAAUUAAGCUGAAAAGUUGGAACCAAUGAUUCGAAAAGCUGGAACCGGUGAUUGGAAAAGAUUAAAUCAGCUGAAAAAAGCUAGAACCAUUGAUUUUGAAUUGAUACUAGAAAUCCAAAAAAGCUACAACCAGCUGAAUAAGAAGCUACAACCGGUGAUUUGGUAAGCUGGAACCGAUGACUUAAAAAAAUGCAAAAGAAAAACAUAUAUUUGGACCCAAGCUGGAUAUAAAUGUGAUUUAAGAAAGAUUCAACCGUUAAGAAGAAAGCUGCUACCAGCGAUUCAAAAAGCUACAACCAUGUGGGCAAAUCAAAGAUAGAAGAAAUCUUCCACUGAUGACAUGGGAAUAUUUAACUGAAGCCCGGGAUCGCCGGAGUUGCACGGACAUGGAAUGGUAGCUGAGCCGACUUGCAGCCCGCAGCAAAAAGUCUCCACUGCUACCGCGGGUGCAGCAUCACCGGAGAGCGUCCAGUGGAUCUCCAGCCCCCUCGAGUUGCCUGAUCUAGCUACACGCAGUGGUCGUUGAUGUGUGGAAAGAGAGAACAGAUCGAGGAGAUGUGUGGAAAGAGAGAACAUAUCAAGGAGGAAGCAACACAACUACAUAGGGCAAGAUAAAUGAAUGGAAGCAAAGCAUCCGCGAAUGGAUAAGGCGAGG
rnacentral:rRNA from 1 species